AUGAACGCUAGCGACAGGCUUAACACAUGCAAGUCGAGGGGUAACAGGGUAGCAAUACCGCUGACGACCGGCGCACGGGUGAGUAACGCGUAUGCAACCUGCCUAUAACUGGGGAAUAGCUCCCUGAAAGGGGGAAUUAACACCGCAUAAUACUAUUGAUUCGCAUGGAUUAGUAGUUAAAUGUAGCGAUACAGGUUAUAGAUGGGCAUGCGUGACAUUAGCUAGUUGGUGAGGUAACGGCUCACCAAGGCUACGAUGUCUAGGGGUUCUGAGAGGAAGGUCCCCCCACACUGGUACUGAGACACGGACCAGACUCCUACGGGAGGCAGCAGUGAGGAAUAUUGGUCAAUGGGCGCAAGCCUGAACCAGCCAUGUCGCGUGCAGGAAGAACCUGCCCUAUGGGUUGUAAACUGCUUUUAUAGUAGAAGAAACACAUCUACGUGUAGAUGUCUGCCAGUAUACUAUGAAUAAGCAUCGGCUAACUCCGUGCCAGCCGCGGC
rnacentral:rRNA from 1 species